rnacentral:rRNA from 2 species
CAGGGGCCUCCGGGAAUCAGUCGUAUGAUGCGCGAAUAUAUCGCGAUUCGGAACGCAAGUCCGAUCGCGGUAUGCAAACGUCGUGUUCGUUCGGCGCAUUUCUCGGAGGUUAGCACUGCGACCGAUACGAAAGGCCGAUGAAGCGUUCGGAUUGAGGGCGAGCACCCUUUACGGGGCGUUCGUAACCAGUCCGGGCGUCGUCGUCGGACCGCAGUAUGUAUCGAGCGCUUGAGUCACGUAUGCGUCGGCUGCAAAGCUCGCUCGAGUAACGGAUAGUUGGUCAAUCGGUUGGUCUCUGCUCGCAGGAACUGAUCUAUUCGAUUCGGCUAAGAAGUUAUCGGCGACAUUCCGGCGUAUAGGCGUCCGCAGUGUCAGCGUCGGUCACCCGUCCGACCCGUCUUGAAACACGGACCAAGGAGUCUAACAUAUGCGCGAGCUAAUGGGCGGAAAACCCAAAGGCGCAAUAAAAGUAAAGGCCGUUUCGGACGGCUAAGGUACGAUCCUAGUCGCCUCGUCUUCUAGGCGCAGUACCGUCCCGUCCCGACCGCAUAUCGGUAGGGCGGAGAUAGAGUGCAUACGUUGGGACCCGAAAGAUGGUGAACUAUGC